GAUAUCAACUGAAAAAGUCAUCAACAACAAAGUUGAAUAACUCAUCAAGAUCUAAAACUUUUAUUUUGGUCAUUUCUUCAUACGACAAAGUGAUAGUAACAUUAUUCACAAAAUUGACAUAUCUCUUAUCUGGUUUUAUAAACUAUGACACAUAUAUGUAAAAUUUGUGAAUAAUAUUACUAACGUUUCGUCGGAUGAAGAAAUAACAAAAGUAAAAGUUUUAGAUCUCUAUGAGUUAUUCAACUUUGUUGUUCAUGACUUUUUCAAUUGAAAUC
rnacentral:pre_miRNA from 1 species